CGUAGGGGCUAGCGUUAUCCGGAAUUACUGGGCGUAAAGGGUGCGUAGGUGGUUUCUUAAGUCAGAGGUGAAAGGCUACGGCUCAACCGUAGUAAGCCUUUGAAACUGAGAAACUUGAGUGCAGGAGAGGAGAGUAGAAUUCCUAGUGUAGCGGUGAAAUGCGUAGAUAUUAGGAGGAAUACCAGUUGCGAAGGCGGCUCUCUGGACUGUAACUGACACUGAGGCACGAAAGCGUGGGGAGCAAACAGGAUUAGAUACCCUGGUAGUCCCUGA
rnacentral:rRNA from 1 species